rnacentral:rRNA from 1 species
GGGGAACCCUGAUCCAGCCAUGCCGCGUGUGUGAAGAAGGCCUUAUGGUUGUAAAGCACUUUAAGCGAGGAGGAGGCUCUUUUGGUUAAUACCCAAGAUAAUGACGGUACCUAGAGAAGAAGCCCCGGCUAACUUCGUGCCAGCAGCCGCGGUAAUACGAAGGGGGCUAGCGUUGUUCGGAAUUACUGGGCGUAAAGCGCACGUAGGCGGACAUUUAAGUCAGAGGUGAAAUCCCAGGGCUCAACCCUGGAACUGCCUUUGAUACUGGGUGUCUUGAGUACGAGAGAGGUGAGUGGAAUUCCGAGUGUAGAGGUGAAAUUCGUAGAUAUUCGGAAGAACACCAGUGGCGAAGGCGGCUCACUGGCUCGUAACUGACGCUGAGGUGCGAAAGCGUGGGGAGCAAACA